AUUGAACGCUGGCGGCAGGCCUAACACAUGCAAGUCGAACGGUAACAGGAAGCAGCUUGCUGCUUUGCUGACGAGUGGCGGACGGGUGAGUAAUGUCUGGGAAACUGCCCGAUGGAGGGGGAUAACUACUGGAAACGGUAGCUAAUACCGCAUAACGUCGCAAGACCAAAGAGGGGGACCUUAGGGCCUCUUGCCAUCGGAUGUGCCCAGAUGGGAUUAGCUAGUAGGUGGGGUAACGGCUCACCUAGGCGACGAUCCCUAGCUGGUCUGAGAGGAUGACCAGCCACACUGGAACUGAGACACGGUCCAGACUCCUACGGGAGGCAGCAGUGGGGAAUAUUGCGCAAUGGGCGCAAGCCUGAUGCAGCCAUGCCGCGUGUAUGAAGAAGGCCUUCGGGUUGUAAAGUACUUUCAGCGGGGAGGAAGGGAGUAAAGUUAAUACCUUUGCUCAUUGACGUUACCCGCAGAAGAAGCACCGGCUAACUCCGUG
rnacentral:rRNA from 1 species